UACAGAGGGGGCAAGCGUUGUUCGGAAUUACUGGGCGUAAAGGGCGCGUAGGCGGCCUUCUAAGUCAGACGUGAAAUCCCCGGGCUCAACCCGGGAACUGCGUCCGAUACUGGAAGGCUUGAAUCCGGGAGAGGGAUGCGGAAUUCCAGGUGUAGCGGUGAAAUGCGUAGAUAUCUGGAGGAACACCGGUGGCGAAGGCGGCAUCCUGGACCGGUAUUGACGCUGAGGCGCGAAAGCCAGGGGAGCAAACGGG
rnacentral:rRNA from 1 species